AUGUCGGCGCUCGUAUCUGCCCUCCGCGCCGCCGGCCGGCACCAUCUCUCCGCUGGCACCCUCAUCACGAGGCCGGUGACGGGCUCCUACCUGUUCAGGAUCGACCAGUACAAGUGCAUCCAGAAGAUGGUCGGCAACGGCACGGUGAUCAAAUCAGCCACGUUCGGCGCGGGAGGCCACGACUGGCGCAUCAAGUGCUACCCGAGGGGCGAAGUAGGAUAUCGAGGCUACAUCUCCCUUUACCUCGAGCACGCCAGCCAUGGCCGCACCGGUGACGCCACGGCUGAUUACUGCAUGAGCAUCCUCGACCACGCCGGAAACCCAUCGUGGACCAAGGGUAAUGCACAAUUAUCGGAUGAAACCGAUAGUGAGAGUGAGAGUGAAACUGAGACCCAGGCGAACAACUUCUCGAACCACGACGCGUUUGGCUGGGGUGCCUUCAUGAAGAUCGAAGACCUUGACGAGGAGGAGCACCUCAAGGACGGCUGCUUGUGCAUCCUCUGCGACGUGACCGUCCUUGACAUGCGCACCACGGACUACGGCGCUCGGCGUGCAUCCACGGGCGCCAUGGUGCCGCCGCCCGGCCUGCACCGGCAACUCACGGAGGACCUCUGGGAGUCCAAAGAGGGGGCGGACGUGGAGAUCGAGGUCGGCGGGGAGACCUUCCCGGCGCACAGGUGGAUGCUCGCUGCCGUGUCUCCUAUCUUCAUGGCUGAGCUGCUCCGGUCGCCUGCAGCCACGAGGAUACGUGUCGACGGAAUUGAUGCCGGGGUGUUCAAGGCGCUGCUCCACUUCAUCUACACGGAUGCCCUGCCGGAAGAGAUGGCGAAGCAAGAGGCGUUGGCGACGAUGGCUAAGCCGCUGCUCGUGGCGGCGGACAGGUACAAGCUGGACAGGCUGAAGCUGGUCUGCGAGGAGGCGUUGUGCGGGCAUAUCAAUAUGUUUUCGGUCGGCGCAACGUUGGCGUUUGCAGAGCAGCAUUGUUGCCGCGUGCUUAAGGAGGCUUGCAUGCACUUCCUCACUGAUCCGUGUAAUCUUGAAGCAGCCGUGGCAACCCGUGGUUUUGAUCAGUUGAAGGCAGCUUCUUGCCAUCCAACUCUCAGGCACCGCUUGGAAUGGGGUUAA
rnacentral:rRNA from 1 species